UUAAUCAGUUAUUCUGUUUAUCUCGUGAAUAAUUUAAACCAUGAUUUCUCUAAAGGUAAUCCAAGUACCAGACUUAGAGAAUAAUGAAUCGCGUUUCAUAUGAAUAACUCAGCAUUUUGGGACAUUGUGCUUGUCUGCUUACUUAAGAAACAAACACAUCAAGGCUGCUUUACGAUCUGAACACAAAGUCUAAAGCCUUUGCCUGAGGUAAAAUUAGCUUAACUCCGCACAGACUGCAGACAAGACAACAUCUGGGCACUGUGGUCCCUCGCAGCCAGAGGCCCUCAGUUGAGUCCAAAGUGUGCCUCCACAGCCACGGCUCUCUGCGUUGAUGUCCCCUGAGGCCAGGCGUUGAGCUCGGGCCUGCUCAGACCCCAGCACUGCGCCGGACCACCACUGCAGCCUCUCGCUCGAGCUCCUCCGCCCCUCCAUCCAUUAUGCAGCCAGUAGCACCCAGCUGCAGAGCUUUACUCCUCAGCUCGUCCCUACCCUUGCCUCCACCGCUUGCCUACUCCGUGCCCGUGUCGGGUUCAGUUGUUCGCUCGCUCAUUCAGACGCUCAAUCAGCCACAAGCCCGCCAGCGACCGGCCUCACAUUCACACAGGAAGGACAUAAAACCACCACCAGUGGCGCUCCUCUGUUGAAGUGAUAGACUUAACUGAGUUUUAAUUCAAUUUAGAUACAUCUUCAUAAUUGCUGACAGUUAUUACACAAGAUAUUUACAGUCAUUAUGAAAUAUUACAAUUAGAAUUUACAGAAACUUUGUACAAAAUAUGCCUGACUUCAAUGCCUGGAUAGUAAGGGGAGGGAUCCUGGUUAUGUUGUUUCAGGAGCGUGAGACAUUGACCCAAAAGUCAGUGGUGUCUGGAAGUGCUUUAGUUUCAGCAAGUAGAUGCUUUCAGAGUCCAUUAAAAAGAAAAGGAAAAAAAAAAAAAAACAAGAGACAGAGAGAGAGAAAGAGA